UGUGCUCUCUGCGCAUUAGUGAACUUAUUUAGGAGGUAGACUUUUUAAAAAGCUUAUUUAUUUGAUGAUGGAGGCGGUUGGAGCUGAUAGUUCUGAUUGUAUUCAGUGGACCCAAGAGUUGAUACUUAAACUCAUUGGAGAAAUUCAGAAAAGAGAUGUUAUUUGGACGCCUGUUUUUCGAAAGAGAAAGGUCCAAUUAAGACGAAUUGCCUGGAAAGCCGUCGUCGCUGCAAUGUCGAUUCCAAAAGAAAACGUAAUGAAGAAAUGGAGAAAUAUUCGUAGCUGCUGCAGGGUUUUUUUCCUAAAUGGAGGGGACUUGCAAGGGCAUCCAAUUUAUGGUUCGAUGACUUUCAUGGCACCCGUAUUUUCUGCACAAGAUGCGGCAAAUUCGAACGUUUCGUCUUCGACUACUACGUUUGAGUUGAGUUCACAAAUCAAAUCUUUAUCAAACCGUAAAAGAACAAUUUCGGACUUGUCUGAAAGUCCAGUUAACAAGAAGUCCAGAUCGGACGAAUGGAAUGCUGUGGCCAAUUUGAUUGAAGCCAAUGGACGCGCUUGGUCCGAGAAAAACUUGCCAGUGGCUCGUGACUUCAAAAUAGCCAUAAGCAACCUUAUCGCUCAGUUCGAGCAAAAGGCAGCAGAUUUUAUGAAUGCUGAUGGCCAAGGAACACCACAAGCUGGGAAAACCCAUGCGAGCACAAAUACCUUUUUAAGUUUUGUGGGUGAGUUCGAUGGAAACUCGGGAAUUGAAUUGCCUUCUAUGCAGAUGGCUUUGGCUAAAAGUAAUAAGAUAUGUAAGCCUAUGAGUUCGGCUAGCUCUGAUGUGAGUGCUUGUACGCCUAGCUAUCAAGUUUCGGACUAUUCAGGUCAAUCCUCUGGUUUUGAUAGUCCUUCGGCUAGUCGUGGUUUUAUUGACAUGUAUGGUUGUACGAACAAUAAUGCAGUAACCGAAGCAUCGCAAAAUAUGCCAAAUGUGUUGGCUCCCACCGACAAUAACGCUGUCAACAAUCAAUUUGAGGAGCAAUCGACAAAGGACUCAGGUGCAGAUGACACUGAAAGAGACAAAAUUUACGUGGAAAACUCAACAACUACUUCUACUGCAUGGGAACUGAAUUUAGUUAAGAAUUUGGAUAACAGUCAACAUUCUUACGAGAUUACAGAAUACGACUCGGUCCAGAUCUCUGUAGAAGAAGAUGGAGAACCAAAGCUGAACAAUGAGGGUUCUAAUUCUUUUUCGAAGACUAUAGGAACUAAGGAUGAAAUGAGUUCUGUCGAAGACAUUGCUAAGAACUUAGACACCAUUGUUCCGGCUAACGAGAUCGCAGAAAACCAAUCCAUUCUGAAAUCUUCAGUUGUGAAUAAAGUAGCCAAAACGGUCGAUAAAUAUAUAAAAUCUAAGGCUACAGACACUGAAAACAAACUGGUUUCAGUCAAAAAUAUGACUGUUCCGUCUUAUGAGAACACAGAAACUAACUCCAAUCUUGCUUCAGCUGCCUAUGAAGAAGAAUCCGAGAACGCUUCAGACACUGAAUACGAAUUGGAAUCAGCUAAAAAUAUAACUCUACACGAGGACACAGAACUCGAGAAUUUCAAUGGAGAAAUUGCUUCUGCUGCCGACGAAGGAGAAUCCGAUCAAGAGGAUGAAGGUACUAAGUCCGAAGGCAAUCUAUGUUGCAUGUCGUAAUCAGAUUCUUUUCACAUUACUAACAACAACUUCAUAAGCCAUUUCUUCCAAGCAAAUUAUUUCUCGAUUUUAACCAAUAACUACUGAAAACCUAACACCAUUUUAAGAAAACCAUUGGUAGCAAGAUGUGAUUCAGGAUGCUAUUAUCUAUUACUGGACUUGCCUUAGCUGCUUCUUGGUUUGAGCCAUCGAUGACAAAUGCUAUAACACUGGAACAUUUCACACAUUACAGCUUGAAUACACAUACACUCAGCAAACAAGUCAGGAUAAUUAUCUAUAUCCUUGGAACUGAAGGAGGAGAGAUCGUUUCCUGCAACACAUUGAUUUAUUUACUAGAAAUAUAUUGCCGCCCAUUCUAUGAAAAUGGAGAGAGAAUGGAAUGCUGCUGGCGCCAUAAAACCAAAUUCUUUAAAACAGAAACAAUUCACUUAUGAUGGUGUGAUGUUUUCAUUAAUCAGGAACAGUUUUUUUUUUUUUUAACAUUCUACUUAAAUAUUAAGUAGGGUGAGCAUUAAAGCUUAUUCGAAUAUACAUGCAUAAUUCUGAAUGGAAAACAUUCAAUGAAAAAUACUAAAAAAAUUAGGAUCCAUUCUUAAAUGAAACAUUGUGAACUGAAAUAUUAAUUUGCGUUGAAAUAUAACAAAUAAUAAUACUACAAUGUUUAAAAAAAA